rnacentral:ribozyme from 1 species
UGAAGAAGAAGAGGAAGAAGAAAAAGCUUAGAGGAAGAAGAAAGAUGCUAUAAUGAUAUUAUUAUUAUUGUGGUUGCUACUAUGUGUAAUGUGUUAUUAUUUUUUCUUCAUCCUUGCUUAAUGUGUGCGCGUGCUUUAUUUUGAUAAUAACGACA